GAUGAGCUUAGACUGAGGUGAAGAGUUAUCAGAUUAUGCUGUAGGUUAGAGCUUAGUCUGACUGUUGGGCCAGAAAACUUAAAAGGGAGUAGUGCAUUAUAAGUUGAGUUGCAGUGUCCUCGGUCCUGAUAGAGACUACAAGUCCCGACAAGCACCGCUCCCCUAGGCGGCCCUGGAUCAAGGACAUCGCUGUGGCAACACUGGGACUCACGGCACUAGAAUGUGGCCAGGUUGCUUCCAACUUUGAAGGCAAGGACGAUGUGCGAGUCAUCUCUGUAUCCUCAGCAUCCAGCAAACUGUCUGGCACUUUGUCAGGCUCAAAAUAUCAGCAGAGUGAAGUUAGAAAGAGGAAAAAGAACUUUA